rnacentral:rRNA from 1 species
AUUGAACGCUGGCGGAAUGCUUUACACAUGUAAGUCGAACGGCAGCACGGGGGCAACCCUGGUGGCGAGUGGCGAACGGGUGAGUAAUACAUCGGAACGUGCCCAGUCGUGGGGGAUAACGUAGCGAAAGUUACGCUAAUACCGCAUACGAUCUACGGAUGAAAGCGGGGGACCGUAAGGCCUCGCGCGAUUGGAGCGGCCGAUGUCAGAUUAGGUAGUUGGUGAGGUAAAGGCUCACCAAGCCGACGAUCUGUAGCUGGACUGAGAGGACGACCCGCCACACUGGGACUGAGACACGGCCCAGACUCCUACGGGAGGCAGCAGUGGGGAAUUUUGGACAAUGGGCGCAAGCCUGAUCCAGCCAUUCCGCGUGCAGGACGAAGGCCUUCGGGUUGUAAACUGCUUUUGUACGGAACGAAAAGGCUCUGGUUAAUACCUGGGGCUCAUGACGGUACCGUAAGAAUAAGCACCGGCUAACUACGUGCCAGCCGCCGCCGUAA